GACGACGCUGGCGGCGUGCCUAAUACAUGCAAGUAGGACGAGUUGCGAACGGGUGAGUAACGCGUGGUAACCUACCUAUUAGAGGGGGAUAACUACUGGAAACGGUAGCUAAUACCGUAUCCCAUCCGAUGUGCCCAUAUGGUAUUAGCUAGUAGGUGGGGUAAUGGCUCACCUAGGCGACGAUCCCUAGCUGGUCUGAGAGGAGGACCAGCCACACUGGAACUGAGACACGGGCCAGACUCCGACGGGAGGCAGCAGUGGGGAAUAUUGCACAAUGGGCGCAAGCCUGAUGCAGCCAUGCCGCGUGGGUGAAGAAGGCCUUCGGGUUGUAAAGCACUUUCAGCGAGGAGGCGUUACUCGCAGAAGAAGCACCGGCUAACUACGUGCCAGCAGCCGCGGUAAUAC
rnacentral:rRNA from 1 species